UUGAACUUUAUCUGUUUUAUUGAUUUACUCUAGUGAAUUUUUAUAAAAGAUACAGCAGUAGGUCAUCUAUGAGGGGUAUUCUGUGAAAAUAAGAGCAAUCAAAGAAAAUAUGAGGUAGACACUUUUUAUAUCUGCUCUUCUCAUCUGGUUUUCUUUAUGAAUAUUUUCCUUUGACCCUUUUUCAACAGAUCUGUAGCUCAGAAUUAUAAUACAUGCCUUGGAAACAAAGGAAUAGAAAAUAGAAAGAGAAUAUAUGUUAUAUAUAUAUUUAUAUAUGCAUUUUUUCUUUCUUGGAGUGACUUCCUAAUUUAUGUUUGUGGGAAGUCAUGAAAUAUAAUAAAAUCGCUGCUUAUGAACAAGUAAAACUAAAUGCAGAUUGCUACAGUGGUUUUGAAGACAGAGCAGAUGGGCCAGUCUAGCCCGGCUCCUAGAAGGGUGUUGACCUGAAUUCAGAAGCUCAUGAGGGGCCUGGACCAGCGGAGGGACAGAGGUGGCCUCUAAAGGUAGAAAGGCCACAAGAAAACGCAAGUCAAAUUUGUUGGUCUUCAUGCAGAUUUUAUUAGAAUCAAUUAGAAUUUUGUUUUCCUAAUGAGUUUGUGUCUGUUCUUUCAGUGCCAUUUUAUCAGUGUCUUUAUUCUCACUGCAGAAACCGAGCCGAGACGUAAUGCACGUGAUGGCUGCACACUUCUGUGGGAAUCCUUGUGCAGUGCGUUUUGGCCAAGACCAUGAUAUUAAUAACCCAUAGUAUUCCAGCACGAAAAUUCUUGAAAAAGAUUCUACAGGAGAGGGUCACCCCACCCAUCAGGACUCUGGAGAGAUACACGCAGUGAUAAAUAUUUAAAGUAGCACUUCACACCUUGAUUGAAUCAAGUGCAUUAAAAUAGCCCUGACAAAAAUACUCCUGUAGCCUUCAUUGGAACUCUGUCCCCACGGAGCUACAUCUGGGCUGGCUGGUGGGGGAACUGGCACGCGGCCUGUUUAAGGUUCCAGCCCUUGGUGCCAAUAGCCUAGGAAGAGUGUCGUGAGGCACGAUUUGGAGAAAAGUCUAUAGUCUGUGCUUCUUUCUCAUAGAUUCUUUUUUGUUUUCACAUAAGCAUACUUCUUUUAAAAACCUUGUUAUUUAUUUACCUGGCUGUGGUGUGCAGGACCCUGUUGUCAUUGUGUGUGUGUUAACCACUCAGCUGUGUCCAACUUUUUGUGACCCCCAUUGACUGCAGCCCGCCAGUCUCCUCUGUCCAUGGGAUUUUCCAGGCAAGGAUACUGGAGUGGGUUGCCAUGCUCUCUUCCAGGUGAUCUUCCUGACCCAGGGAUCGAAUCCACGACUCCUGCAUUGUAGGUAGAUUCUUUACCGUCUGAGCCACCAGGGAAGCCCGUUGUCAUUAACUGGGAUGCAUCUUUGGUGGUGUCUGUUGAGGGUCUUAGAAACACAGACUCCCCCCACACACACCUGUACAUAUGCUACAAGUUUGCCGCAACGCAUCCAAGGUUAUCAUGAAACAUUUUGCUGCUUGUAUGUCAAAGCAAGAGGUGAGACUGUUUAAACGUUAUUGCCAUCUCCCAGAACCCUAGACCGGCUACUGUGAUCAUGUCUAGCUUGACUUUCCUG
ensembl:lncRNA